UAGCUCAUUCUGCAUUAGUAAUACAAUAAAUGAUUAGCAUUCCAAUUUGAAACAUAAGUAUUUUUAUUUUUUAUAGAUUUGUGGAGGGCCUGAAUACCCUUGGUGUUCUGAAUGCAAUCCGAAUGCAUCCUGGCAGUUUUAGGCCCUUAAUGUGCCAUGAACCAUCUGCACUCACUGCUGACAUAAUGGAUCACCUUUUCCACAUCCGCCUGUCUGAAGUGGGAAGCAACAAGAGAAGAGCAGAGGAACUUGUGGUACCAUUUUGGAGGGACUACCUGCAGGAUGUUGAAGAGCAAGAAGGACCAUCAAAGCUAGGUAAAAUCCUAGCCUUUGCCACAGGUGCAAGUGUCAUCCCUCCAGUUGGCUUCUCCCCUCAGCCAUCAAUCGAUUUCCUGCAUGAUCAUUCCUCCAGCCCGAGACGCUGUUUGCCUAUGGCCAACACCUGCAUUAACUGCCUUAAGCUACCGCUUUUUGACAAAUAUGGGGAUUUCAGGGAGAGAAUGGACUUUGCAGUUGGUAACACACAGGGUUUUGGUAGGGAAUAACAGAACAUCAUGAGUGGUUAGUUCCAAGUACCCUCUUGAGGAUGUUUGGAAUAGACAGGUUAAGAAUACACAGUGAAAAUAUAUCGAUUGCUGAUAAAAACACAUCACCUUUUGAGUGUUAAAGGUGAAAGGGUUCAGAUUUUUUUUAACCUGUACCCUAUUUUACUAUGUUUGUUUGUCUAAGUGACUGAUGGGGAGAACAAUCUUUGAAAUUGGUCCAGUAUUUAUUAAGAUCCCUGUAGUCGGCAGUGGCGAAACUAGAUGCAAUGUUAGUUAUUGGGUAAUUGCUUGUUUUGUCACUGACAUGCUCAGAUUAUUAUUCUAAAUCUUUUUG